GCUCGUAGUUGGAAUUCUGCUGAGGAUGACCGGUCCGCCCUCUGAGAGGUAUCUGGCUCAGCUUUGGCAUCUUUCUUGGAAAAUGUAUCUGCACUUGACUGUGUGGUGCGGUAUUCAAGACAUUUACUUUGAGGAAAUUAGAGUGUUUCAAGCAAGCAAAAGCUUUGAAUACAUUAGCAUGGAAUAAUAACAUAGGACCUCAAACCUAUUUUGUUGGUUUCUAGAAUUGAGGUAAUGAUUGAUAGGGAUAGUUGGGGGCAUUCGUAUUUAAUUGUCAGAGGUGAAAUUCUUGGGAUUUGUUAAAGACGGACUACUGCGAAAGCUUUUGCCAAGGAUGUUUUUCAUUUGAUCAAGAACGAAAGUUAGGGGAUCGAAGACGAUCAGAUACCGUCCUAGUCUUAAACCAUAAAACUAUUCCCGACCAGAGAUUGGAGGCCGUUUUUCUUUACUCCUUUCAGCACCCUUAUGAGAAAAUCAAAGUCUUUGGGGUUCCGGGGGGGAGUAUGGUCGCAAGGCUGAAACUUAAAGGAAUUGACGGAAGGGCACCACCAGGAGUGGAGCCUGCGGCUUAAUUUGACUCAACACGGGGGAAACUUACCAGGGCCCAGACAUAGUAAGGAUUGACAGAUUGAUAGCUCUUUUCUUGAUUUCUAUGGGUGGUGGUGCAUGGCCGUUCUUUAGUUGGUGGAGUGAUUUGUCUGGUUAAUUCCGGUUAACGAACGAGACCUUAACCUGCUAAAUAGUUACAUGUAACCUCGGUUACAUGGGCAACUUUC
rnacentral:rRNA from 1 species